ACUCAAAUGAAUUGACGGGGGCCCGCACAAGCGGAGGAGCAUGUGGUUUAAUUCGAUGAUACGCGAGGAACCUUACCAGGGCUUGAAAGUUAGUGAAUGAUUUAGAAAUAGGUCAGCAAGCAAUUGCACGAAACUAGGUGCUGCAUGGCCGUCGUCAGCUCGUGCCGUGAGGUGUUGGGUUAAGUCCCGCAACGAGCGCAACCCCUAUCAUUAGUUGCCAACAGGUAAAGCUGGGGACUCUAAUGAGACUGCCCGCGUAAGCGGUGAGGAAGGUGGGGAUGACGUCAGGUCAUCACGGCCCUUACGUCCUGGGCUACACACGUGCUACAAUGGUAGAUACAGAGGGCAGCUACUUGGUAACAAGAUGCUAAUCCUUAAAGUCUAUCUCAGUUCGGAUCGAGGUCUGCAACCCGACCUCGUGAAGCUGGAUUCGCUAGUAAUCGCAUAUCAGCCAUGAUGCGGUGAAUACGUUCCCGGGCCUUGUACACACCGCCCGU
rnacentral:rRNA from 1 species